rnacentral:rRNA from 1 species
UAUCGGACUGAUACUAAGCCAUGCGAGUCAUUGUAGUAAUACAAGGCAGACGGCUCAGUAACGCGUAGUCAACCUAACCUAUGGACGGGGAUAACCUCGGGAAACUGAGAAUAAUACCCGAUAGAACAUUAUGCCUGGAAUGGUUUAUGUUUCAAAUAAUUUAUUGCCGUAGGAUGGGACUGCGGCCUAUCAGUUUGUUGGUGAGGUAAUGGCCCACCAAGACUAUUACAGGUACGGGCUCUGAGAGGAGUAGCCCGGAGAUGGGUACUGAGACACGGUCCCAGGCCCUAUGGGGCGCAGCAGGCGAGAAAACUUUGCAAUGUGCGAAAGCACGACAAGGUUAAUCCGAGUGGUUUCUGCUAAAGGAACCUUUUGCCAGUCCUAGAAACACUGGUGAAUAAGGGGUGGGCAAGUUCUGGUGUCAGCCGCCGCGGUAAAACCAGCACCUCAAGUGGUCAGGAUGAUUAUUGGGCCUAAAGCAUCCGUAGCUGCUUUGUUAGUUUUCGGUUAAAUCCAUUCGCUCAACGAAUGGGCUGCCGGGAAUACUGCAAAGCUAGGGAGUGGGAGAGGUAGACGGUACUCGGUAGGAAGGGGUAAAAUCCUUUGAUCUGUUGAUGACCACCUGUGGCGAAGGCGGUCUACCAGAACACGUCCGACGGUGAGGGAUGAAAGCUGGGGGAGCAAACCGGAUUAGAUACCCGGGUAGUCCCAGCUGUAAACUAUGCAAACUCAGUGAUGCAUUGGCUUGAUGCCAAUGCAGUGCUGCAGGGAAGCCGUUAAGUUUGCCGCCUGGGAAGUACGUACGCAAGUAUGAAACUUAAAGGAAUUGGCGGGGGAGCACCACAAGGGGUGAAGCCUGCGGUUCAAUUGGAUUC